AGUGAACGCUGGCGAUAGGCCUAACACAUGCCAGUCGAACGGCAGCACAGUAAGAGCUUGCUCUUACGGGUGGCGAGUGGCGGACGGGUGAGGAGUACAUCGGAAUCUACUUUUUCGUGGGGGAUAACGUAGGGAAACUUACGCUAAUACCGCAUACGACCUACGGGUGAAAGCAGGGGAUCUUCGGACCUUGCGCGAUUGAAUGAGCCGAUGUCGGAUUAGCUAGUUGGCGGGGUAAAGGCCCACCAAGGCGACGAUCCGUAGCUGGUCUGAGAGGAUGAUCAGCCACACUGGAACUGAGACACGGUCCAGACUCCUACGGGAGGCAGCAGUGGGGAAUAUUGGACAAUGGGCGCAAGCCUGAUCCAGCCAUACCGCGUGGGUGAAGAAGGCCUUCGGGUUGUAAAGCCCUUUUGUUGGGAAAGAAAAGCAGCAGGUUAAUACCCCGCUGUUCUGACGGUACCCAAAGAAUAAGCACCGGCUAACUUCGUG
rnacentral:rRNA from 1 species